AGCGGGCUGUGCUCAAGCGCAGCUUCCACAGGAAACUGUGGUUGACAAAGCAGGAGAAUUGCUGGAAGCCCCUCUGGGGUAAUCAGCAGCCGAGCCCGUCAUUAUUUUGGCGGGAAGGUUCAGAGACUAUGUACCUGCCUCCCGAAACGCAAUGUCCGCCUAUGGCGGAAAGUCGUGGGAGAAGAUAUAGUCCAAGUCCGAUAGUAAUAUCGGG
rnacentral:ncRNA from 1 species